UUCAGAUUUAAAAGGAAAUCUUAUGAAGAACAGAAACGGCCAUAUGUGUUUUUUAUGUUGCCACACUUCGGUUAGCUAUGUUAAAAGCAGCAGCAUUAUCACACAAGAUUUAAAAGGAAAUCUUAUGAAGAACAGAAACGGAACAGAACAGAAAUAUGUGCUUUUUAUGCUGCCACACUUCGGUUAGCUAUGUUAAAAGCAGCAGCAUUAUCACACAAGAUUUGACACGUGAAUCCAUAAUCGCAAGACCUGAUGAAACCAAAUUUAUAAUGCAAUUGGCCUCUUAAACUAGAAAGAUAACAAUAAAGCCGAACAAGCAAGAAAACUUACCAACGAAGAUGGAAAUUAAAUCGUAUGAAGAAAGGAAACGGCCACAUGUGCUUCUCAUGUCAUCUCUAUUUAUUGAGGAAUGAUAUGGGAAUUCUAUAAAAUCGUCAUAUCAAGAUGGGGGAUCGCUGACUUCUAUCAAGAACUCGCAAGAUAACUUUACUGAAACUGUUUGAAGAGGCGAAUAUCUCAACAAAGAUUGAAAUAAAAGGCUAUACAUAUGGUGUGCUGCUUAAGUAGUCAGUUUUUCUAGGGGAAUGACACCUUCCAGAAACAUCAUUUGCAUAUUAGAAGGGGACUGACAAAUGGAAAAGGAAUGGCUGAUAUUCUUCCGUAAAUCGCAAGUUAACUUUACUGAAACUGUUUGAAGAGGCGAAUAACUCAACAAAGAUUGAAAUAAAAGGCUAUACAUAUGGUGUGCUGCUUAAGUAGUCAGUUUUUCUAGGGGAAUGACACCUUCCAGGAACAUCAUUUGCAUAUUAGAAGGGGACUGACAAAUGGAAAAGGAAUGGCUGAUAUUCUUCCAUAAAUCGCAAGUUUCAGAUACUUGCUAUAUGGAUGAUGGUGUAUCGGCUAAGGCCUAAGAAAUCUGAAACAGCGAAACACUGAAGUUUUUUGUGAAUUGUAUGGAUUUAUAUCACUGAGACUAAACCGUCGCUUUCAAAAACAUCCCCAGAUCAGAGAUCAGUUAUGAUGUCUAUAUGGAACUGGAUCAGCGUGAGGAAGCUUUUAAUAAAUAGCACUUACGUGAUGUUUUUGUUGACAAUAAAAUGUUUUGUAAAUUAUACUCAAAAUAUACAUACAAUAAUAAA